AAAUACCACUACUUUUAACGUUAUUUUACUUAUUCCGUGAAACGGAAGCGGGGCACUGCCCCUCUUUUUGGACAUAAGGCUUACUUCGGUGGGCCGAUCCGGGCGGAAGACAUUGUCAGGUGGGGAGUUUGGCUGGGGCGGCACAU
rnacentral:ncRNA from 1 species